rnacentral:lncRNA from 1 species
UUUUUUUCCAUUUUCCUUCUUGCCAACUCUAUCCUGUCUCCAAGUGCAGACCGUUUUGUGGCGACUCGACGUAAGUUCACACAGGAAUGACAUUUUCAUGAAUAACGCAGGGUGCCUUUAUUCAAUACAUUAUGGACCCCUCAUCAUGUCCAAACUUAACUUUUUUUCCCCUUUGAUAAUGUAAUAUUCACAGUUGGAAAUGAACAGGUUAAAUGUGAUAUGCAAUACACUUAUUUGCAUUUUAUUUCCAAUCACUGGAAAGCAAUUUGUUACUAUUAAAUUGUGGAGUUGUAAUUUUUUAAUCAUGAAAAUCCAAAUAAUUACUAAUUGAAUGUGAUUACCUCCUUUGUGCAGCUCUUAUAUUAGAAAAAAAAUCAAAUUUAAUGUUCCUUAAUAUGGAAUAGACAAUCAUUAUCUAUGCCCCCAUUGAUUUAUGUUAUUAUUCAUUUAAUCCUCAGUUUAGAAAUGUGUAUAUCCUUCUAAGGUACUUUGCAUGCUUCUGUUUACAGCUUAUGGAGCUGCUUGGCCUCAUUAUAACUUAUUACAUUGUAGGAAUACUUAAAACACGGUAAAGGAAAUUACAUUUUCCAAAACACAUCAUAUUUUAUCAGCAGAGUAAUCCAUUGUUUCUACUGCUUACCAGGACAUGGUUAUAAACAUUAUAGAGGGAACUUAAAAUAAAGAGUCUAAAAUGCGCAGGGAUAAUAGAAACUUUUGUAAAAUACUUUGAGGUCCUAAAUUUAAAAAGGCUGGUUCUGUGGUUGGAUUCAAGUUGGACUCGUUGGAGGAUGUGGUGGAGAGAUGUACUGUGAGGAAGGUGGAGGCUAUUCUAAAGAAUAUGGCUCACCCACUUCACAACACCUUGGUGGACCGAAAGGCCUAUGGUGGUGGACGGCUCCUCUCUCUGCUGCAGGACAGAAAGACUCAUAAGAUCUUUUGUACCCACAGCCAUCAGACUCUACAAUUUAAAUAGUAGAUGACUUUUUGAGACAUGACAAGUGAGACUACAGACAAUUGAAUUACCCUUAGGGGAUAAAUAAUGUUCUUCAUUUUCAAUUAUCUCUUAUGAACACUGUAUUUUUAGUCAUUAAUUUGAUUGAAGGGUUAUCGAACAAGACAAUGGUCACUUCCAGCUUUUGACUCAACUUGACUUUUGAUAGAUGUAUAGUUGAGGACAGCCACUUGGUGGAUUGAGUAAAAGUACAUUAUAAUCUCAUUAGCUUUGGGUGGAUGUUGGAUCAUUUAAUUUUAUUUCUUUAAUAAAAAAAGAUUAAUGUUUUUUUCCAUUGUGUCUUACAGGUAUCCUGUCCAGUCUCCCCACUCUCCCCUAUCAUUUUGGUCCCUCUGACUUUCCUGUCUCCUCUACCACUCUUUCUGAUUGAAAAGCCACUCUGCCUUUCUAUCCCCCUUCUAUCCCACUCUGGCUACUAAUACAAUCCUUGAAACAAAUCUUUGAUACCAUUGAAACAAAUCUUUGAGACCUAUUGAAACAAAUCUUUGAGACCUAUUGCAAUAAAUCUUUGAGACCUUUUGCAACAAAUCAUUUGAGACCCUUUUGCAACAAAUCAUUUGAGACCCCUUUGCAACAAAUCAUUUGAGACCCCUUUGCAACAAAUCAUUUGAGACACCUUUGCAAUAAAUCUUUUGAGACCCCUUUGCAAUAAAUCUUUUUGAGACCUAUUUUAACAAGCCA